rnacentral:rRNA from 1 species
CAGCCGUAAACAAUGUGCGUUAGGUGUGUCGGUAACCACGCGUUACUGAUGCGCCGAAGAGAAAUCGUGAAACGCGCCACCUGGGAAGUACGGUCGCAAGGCUGAAACUUAAAGGGAAUUGGCGGGGGAGCACCACAACAGGUGGAGCCUGCGGUUUAAUUGGAUUCAACGCCGGACAUCUCACCGGAUAAGACAGCUGAAUGAUUGUCAAUCUGAAGGUUUUACAUGACUAGCUGAGAGGUGGUGCAUGGCGUCAGUGACU